GGGACGAGAGGGAGAAUAGGAGGAGGAAGCGGGGAUCCCACACGUCAGGAAUUUCGCUGGGCAAGCCGCAUGGAAAACCCUCCAAAGACUGAAGAGAAAACAGCAACAGAAAAUCGGUGUGACUUCUACAAGUUCCUCUUCAAAAGUGGCCCAAGUUUCAAAGAGAACGGUGGGGAGCUAAGCUGGAAAGAAGGCAGCAGAAGAUAGAGCUUAGUUGAUGAUCAGCUGCAUGGUGGUGACUGGCCAGCAAGGAGGAAACCGAGUCAUGUACCACCAAGGGAGUAGGAAUAUUCAACUUGGUGUCCUUGCUCCUUCGAGGUGUGGUUCAGGGAGGAUGCUGCCAGGCCUAACAAGCCACAUCUGUACAGGCCUGGAGGGUGUUACAGGAGAAGAGGCUCAUGGUCAGAAGCUACCUGUUGGGGAGAAGGGAAGAUAUUAGCUGACACUGGGCAUUACGAACUUUGAACAAAAUCAAAUAAGAUGUGAACUGUGAUCAUGUGUGUCUUGUAAAUAAAGCUAAGGAGCACA